rnacentral:lncRNA from 1 species
ACUGCGUGGCUGGCGAGAUGGUAACGCCAAGGCGGGGAGCAGCUUCACAGCUCAUCGCCCUCAGCCCAGCAACCGCCUGAGACCCGCCGUGCCCGUUCCAAGCGCUCACUGGCUGCCCGCUGCCUCUCUGCCAGGGGUGGGGAGCAGCGUGGGGGCUCCUCGGGGACCCACGGGCUUCCCUCCGCCAUCCUCCGAGGCGGCCUGUCCCCACACACACGUGUCUGGGAAAGUGCUGAGGUCGCAGUCAAAAAGUAUCGUCAAUGAAGAUCUGUCUGUGCAGCUAAAUAAAGCGCUCAUGGAGAAAGCUCUAAAUGAAGCAGUGAAUGAGCACCAUGUAACCAGACAGCUAUAAACCUUCAGCUGCAGACCUCUGACAGGAGUCUAUAGACCACCAGUUUGGGAGACCUCUGCUUUAAACCUCUAAAUGAUUCAACAUUUAUGUAAGUCAGACACAUUCCGGUUUUAUGUAGCUAAAUCAUUUUAAAGCCAUGUUCAUUGUAAUGCUAAAAUGUCCAGCCACUAUAUGAACUGUUUACUAAUGCAAAUUGUCUCUCUAAUAAUUAAGUAAUAAAAAUGGGAAGGGUAUGUGAGCUAUAAACA